rnacentral:rRNA from 1 species
UCCCAGUUCGGAUCGCAGGCUGCAACCCGCCUGCGUGAAGUUGGAAUCGCUAGUAAUCGCGGAUCAGCAUGCCGCGGUGAAUACGUUCCCGGGCCUUGUACACACCGCCCGUCACACCAUGAGAGCCGGGAACACCCGAAGUCCGUAGCCUAACCGCAAGGGGGGCGCGGCCGAAGGUGGGUUCGAUAAUUGGGGUGAAGUCGUAACAAGGUACC